rnacentral:rRNA from 1 species
UAAAUUGAGAGUUUGAUCCUGGCUCAGGACGAACGCUGGCGGCGUGCUUAACACAUGCAAGUCGAGCGAUGAAACCCUUCGGGGUGGAUUAGCGGCGGACGGGUGAGUAACACG